UCGAGAAUUUUUCACAAUGGGCGAAAGCCUGAUGGAGCGACGCCGCGUGGGGGAUGAAUGGCUUCGGCCCGUAAACCCCUGUCAUUUGCGAGCAAAGCCUGCCCGAUAACACCGGGUAGGUUGAUCGUAGCGAAAGAGGAAGGGACGGCUAACUCUGUGCCAGCAGCCGCGGUACUACCGAGGUCCCGAGCGUUGUUCGGAUUCACUGGGCGUCAAGGGUGCGUAGGUGGCGAGGUAAGUUCGGUGUGAAA
rnacentral:rRNA from 1 species